ACGAGUCGCCAUGUUGGAUCUUUCAGUGGUGCCUAAAUCUAAUAUAACUUAGCCGCACUUCAAUGGAGUAAGUCAUAUUUUUGAAGCUCGACAUAAGGCUGUCAUGACGUGAAUCCUCCUGAACUGCUGCUGCUUGAAUUUGCGCUCCCCUCUUAGGCUGCAGUACUCAGUGCCACCAGUCGAGGGCGGUCCUACUUCACCACAGUCAGACUUCAGACGUACAGAAGCUCCAAAACGUCUUCUGAAAUUUGCACAGCAUGAAGGGAGGUAACCGACCAGAGAGGAGAAAACCAAGAUGGUUUCCCUU